AGUAUAGUUUUUAGUGGUUCAGUUGGUGGCUCUUUUCAGCUAUCCUGUUUAACUGGCAGUUGAGUCCUGUUUAGUGCAGCAUUACGUAAACAGGAAGAGUUUCGGAAAGUUCUGAACUUGGCUGGCAUUGAUUUUGUUACCGUUAAGUUACGGCUGGAUAGGGAGGUUUUCAUCCUGAUUCCGAGCAACGCUUGUGCUGGAUUCGAUGAUCUAUUUGGGUGUGCCUUCUUCGACUUGACCACAAUUCAUGAUGAGCAUAAAGGUGAUACGGAAACCAUAUUACAAGCUGAUUUUUAUCAUGCCAAUGAGUUGCUGCCUUUGGAAGA